UAGUCUGGGAUACCACUUGGAAACAGGUGCUAAUACCGGAUAAGAAAGCGGAUCGCAUGAUCAGCUUUUAAAAGGCGGCGUAAGCUGUCGCUAUGGGAUGGCCCCGCGGUGCAUUAGCUAGUUGGUAAGGUAAAGGCUUACCAAGGCGAUGAUGCAUAGCCGAGUUGAGAGACUGAUCGGCCACAUUGGGACUGAGACACGGCCCAAACUCCUACGGGAGGCAGCAGG
rnacentral:rRNA from 1 species